GAAAACUCAAUAUGGCCCAUAAAAAUGGCCCAGUACAAUCCAUAUUUCUAUACAAAAUGGUGUUGUUAUAUGUGUGAAAUGGUUUUGUUAUAUGUGUGAAAUGAUGCCUAAAUUAUAAUGUUUUGUCUUAUCUUGGCGCUGAAACGGGUUGGUUUUCAUUCAUGUUGCUGCCGCAACUUUGGCUUGGUGCUGAAAUGUUGGCGGGUUCGGGUUCCCUGACGAGGACGAAAAACCCGAUGGGACGGGGCUGGGAGAAAACUGAAACCCGCAACCGGGGACGAGGACGGGUCUGAGAUGAAGGUCGCGGGGACGGGUUUGGGCAGCCACUACCCGGCGGGUUUCGUCCCCGUUACCGUCCGGAGAAAUGACGGGCUAAAAAAAAAAGGUGGGUUGGGCUAGAAUUGAGAAGGUUGAUGGGCCAAAUGUGUUAAUCCUAUAAAAAAUAAAAAGAAACAAACGGGUCGUGCCGGGCUGGUCUGAGGGCCCAUGGAAGCCCAGGCGUGGCACAUGUUUUGUGCCGGGCUCAUGAUACUCGGGCUUUUGAAAAAGUCCAGCCCAAUGACCAUCUAUAGUAGGGGCUACCAGGUCGUGUUUAUGCCUGCAUUCCAUCUUAGCGGGCUGUCAUGGCACGACUCGUUUAUAUGUGGGCUUGGGAGGCCCGAUUAGCAGCAAAGCGGGUCAUGAGGGGCCUGGGUUGGCCUGUUGGUUAACUAUAAUCAAUAGAGUUUCUCAAGAUGGUGGGGCCACAUGUUAGCUUCGUCUUAGAGAAAGUGGCUUUUUAAACAAAUUAAGUAGUACUAAUAUUUUCGUGAAUAAAUUUU
rnacentral:lncRNA from 1 species